GUGCACUUUGGUAGCACAUAUGCUAAAAUUGGAAAAAUACAGAGAAGAUUAGCAUGGCAUCUGCACAAGGAUGAAAUACAAUUCAUGAAGCAUUCCAUAUUUUU